CGAAAUGCGAUACGUAGGGUGAAUUGCAGAAUCCAGUGAAUCAUCGAAUCUUUGAACGCACAUUGCGCCCCUUGGUAUUCCAUGGGGCAUGCCUGUUCGAGCGUCAUUUACACCCUCAAGCUCUGCUUGGUGUUGGGCGUUUGUCCGCGCUUCUCGCGCGUGGACUCGCCCCAAAGGCAUUGGCAGCCCUGGCCGACGACCGCCCUCGCAGCACAAUUGCGCAGGGACCGGCGGCCGAGGCGCUCCAACAAGUCUCCUCUCCACGUUUGACCUCGGAUCAGGUAGGGAUACCCGCUGAACUUAAGC
rnacentral:misc_RNA from 1 species